rnacentral:lncRNA from 1 species
AUGAAAAGACUCAGUAAUGUGGAGCUUCUGUCACUGGGCCUUAGUGAAAAAAUGAAGCCUAAUCACGUUGACAGGGAUGCUCCUCAAUGGAAAAUGUACAGUGUGGUCAAAGAGCUGAAGAACAUGCAGAGAGCUCGUUUUGCAAAUUCUGCUUCGAAGCCUCUUUUCCCAGCACUCGCUCGGAUUUCUGGCACAGCGCGUGGGUAUCUGAAGAGGUGGAAGUGGGCGAGCGACAGAGUUUUGGGUGCCCUUACGAAUCCUGGAGCUCUCAGCCAUUUGUGCAUCCUAUAAAUAUGAGACAAGAUGAACACAGCACAGGGAUCUGGUCCUAGGCAAGAUUUCCUGGACUUUUCCAGGAAGAAAUAGGCAGCACCAGGAAACUUUCCAUGCGAUGGAGCUGUUCUAGAGCAAACUAUUUCAGGCUCGACCUUCUCCUAACCAUCUGGUGAUGGCCCCCAAGGGAGAUGGAGGAUUGGUGGCUUCUCUGAUUGUUGCUUAACCCCUCUUCAUUCUUCAGCUUGCUCAUCUCGUGCACAGCACCAAGGCUCACUAUGGUCCUGAGCUGAUGGGUGCUUGGUGUGUGAAGCACAUGGAAUAGAGGGGAAAAAGUGUUACCGGUGUGAUACGGCCACUCGAAGGUACUUAGCGCCUGUGACAUGUUAUAAUGCAACACUCCAUGUCUUCCAGCCAUUUUAUAAACCUGGAUUGACUGGAUGCAAUUCAAAACCAAUGAAAAAAAAACACAAAAACACGCUGAAUUCAAGAGCGGGACUGCCCCGGGGGUGCUGCGCAGCCCCUUUCCAAUCACUAGACCUUUCUCCUUGCCUUCAACAACCUCACAAAUGGAUUGCCCAAAGGAAUACAAAGCCAAAAGCUGCAGACCUUAUUUCUCUACCGAGGUAACCUUUACAGCUCCGAUGAACA